rnacentral:misc_RNA from 1 species
GAAAGAUCAAGAAAACUAAGCUUUGAGAGAUUGGCAAAAGUGGAAAGUGGGAUCAGGCCUUGAAAAAGGUUAUAAGAAACAUCAAUCUCCUCGAUGUUUGAUAGGUUGCUAAAAAUGGUGAGGUCACCCUGGAACUGGUUCUUUGACAACUUCAAAAUUCUAAGCGAUGACAUGUUAGCCAAACAUGAGGGCAUAUCAUCUUCAAUAAAGUUAACUGAGAGAUCCAAAUGUUUC